rnacentral:lncRNA from 1 species
AUCUUAGUAAAAACUGCAUUUUUAAAGCUCCAGAUAUAAACCCCCAACUAAUCAUGACAUAAAAUUAGUCUAUUUAUGGCUACAAAAAGCAAGCCUUGUUCUCAUUAUGCAGUAAGUACUAGCUGUUUAUAGAUGUGACAGUUUGCUGGAAGUGAUCCAAACCUAUAGUGCUAUUAUUCCUUAGUAAAACUUAAACAGCUGUAGUCAUGUAAUUCAAAACCCUGGAAGGCUGCUGCAGUGCUUGCUCAACCUCAGUAUACCAUGAAUGCAGGAUGCUGCCAGUCAUAUAAAGGAUCCUCUGCUUCACAUUAUGAAAGAAAGACGUGAACUACAAACCUGAACGCAACCUGGAAUUUCCAAACAGAUGAUCUUGUGACAGCCUUUGCAAGAGUGCAGUUAUCAGGCAAAAUCCAGAUAACUGAAAUUCAAUACCAGCCAAUCCUAAAGAGGAAAUUUUGUGCUUUUGAAAUCCAUUCCUGCAACAAAGGAUUUGAGAGAGGAGAUAUAUCAGUAAAAACAGGUAUGUAGGUGGAAGAUAACCACAACCUGUAAGGAGUGAAGACACAAGGAGUGGUGAGAAAACUGGGGGAAAUAGUGAUGAGGAAAAUCUCUGAAACCUUGCAUGCAAAAGCAGCACAAAGGGGUCUGUUUUAAGUGUCUGAACACAAACACUUGUAGCUUGGGAAUCAACCAGCAGGGACCAAAAUCCAUGCACUGAUACAGAGCUGUGAUUUCACUGGGACUCCAGAGAUGCACAGAGAUAGCACAUGCAACUGAAGGGGUGCAAUGAAAGCUUCCAGAAUAUUUAGGAAU